GUGUGUCUGUGUGUGUUUGUGUUUCCAGAUAUCUGUUGUAACUCAAGAGCCUCUGGAUGGAUUAUUAUGAUAUUUGGCAUGUGGUUAGGAGUUGAGGAAGAUCAAUUUUUGGCCCCCUGGUGUGUGACCUCGUUUUGUAAUGUCAUUUUCUACUAAUUCUAGGUAAAAUGUUGGUCUUGUGCAGUACAGAAUUUACGUCAAAGAAUGCUGUUAAAUAAUCCGUUAAUGCUACAGUUGAAGUGAUUUUUUAAUUGUAAGAUUUUUGCUGAUAUACAGGAUUAUUCAUAAUAGGUAUUCCAACGCUACCGCGAAAACGUCCUGCCGCAUGGCGAUCGGUAAAUUUCUUACCAUCUUCCCACCCUCGCGGCACAAAAACUAUUCACUCCUAGAGGCAUAUUUACCCAUAAAAAUAAAGCAUAUAAGUUUCUCUUUCGUGUGAUAUGUUUGUUUGGUCUGUUAAAUGUCCAAAACGCCAAAAAUUUGCCGAUGAAAACGGCGCGACGUGCGCCUUUCGGCCGGGGUUGGAAAACACGGGCCCAAAACCUCCCCCCUCCCCCAGCUCGCUACGCUGCGUUCACGGCGCUUGCGCAUCGCCGUCUUAGACCGCAGCAGAAUGAAAGUAGUGUCAUUGCAAAGAGCAGAUUACGAGCUUUAAAAUGAUACCGGUGACAGUUGUCAACUUUUAUUUUUUGCCGGUAAAAAUUCCACUUGAAGUGAUUGAUCGAUGUUUAAUUGUAAAAAUCUCCGCAAAAAUUUUAUUUUUGCCGGCUGUCACCCCUGUCCAAAUGACGACAAAAAAAUAGGCUACGUUUUGAUGUAAUCGGCAUGUCUAUUGCAUGCACGCCGGCGGAUCGCGGAGCUUGUUUUCCUGGCGAGGUCGGCCCUAGCGCCCUGUGUUUGGCCGGCCGCGCGAUCCUGACGCGCCGAAGUUCGGCCGCGCGCCUCUUACAAAUAGAAGUUAUGUGACUGAAGCGGCACAAACAGAUCCUUUUCGACGCUAUAGAGCAGGAAUUUUCAGUUUGGUAAUGGCGACCUCCAAGACAAGCCCACAUGGUACCCAGGUUCAGUCGUAGAAGAUGGUGUAGAAGCAAAUUGACACUUACUGACUUACCUUCUUCCAUCCGGUUUUGGGAAUUUAUCUAAUCUUAAUCUAUUUUAACUUCAAAUCUUCUUGAUGUAUUAUAUAGAAUUCAGUUACAUGUAUGUGUCAGUCUGAUUCUUUCUUUAUAACCACUUUAUUACAUCAUACAAAAGAACUGUAACUACAAAUCACCGUACUAGUAGUGAUGGUGUGGUACUUGGGUAGGACGUCUUCGCCGCAGAAAGAUGACCAUCAUCGUUAUGGUAGACACAAUAAUAAAACUAAAAGUUUAAUUGUUUAUUAGGAGGAAUAUUCUAUCUAAUCCCAGAUGUGGCUGAUAAAAGACUAGCAGAGAAAAAACUUGAAGAAUGUAGGUUGUAGUACCAAUAAGUAGAGCGAGAUACGCAUGUAUUGGAUGGUGUAGGACAAAUGUAAAGCUGACAAGUUAACUAGUUGUGCUGCCAAUUUAACUAAAUAAAAGUGUUAAGUUUGUUAAGAAAGCACAGAACAGUUAGUGCCACAGGAAAUGAUAAGUAGGCCUGUUUUUUUGUGCAAAACUUUGUGUACUUUCUAUGAUACAGGUGAUAAUUACUGAUUAUAAGAAUUAUCGGGAAGUAACACAUCCAAAUUCCAAGAAAUCUAACUAUGUACAUUUACAGAAAAUAGCCUGUGACCUUGAAAAAUGUUUACAUUGUCAUGAUAAAUUCAGUGUUUACAUUGUCUAUCUAUCAUUAUUUUAUCUCUUCUUCUUAUAGUACUAACAUCUGUCAUGUAUUGUGCAAGUGUGAACUUAUGCUAAUGAUGCAGUGUAACAUUGUGCCUCAUCAAAUAAUGCGAGAUGUUCAUGCAAUCUUACCUUUGACCUUGACCAAGUUGACCUUCUUAUUAAAGAAGUUACCAUUGUUGA